CUCGCCGGACGGGCAGCUGCCCCGAUGAGCAGGCCGCGGCCGCAAGGUAGCGGCCUUAGUGAAUCGGGGAGGAAAGUCCGGUCUCCGCAGGGUAGCGUGCCGGCUAACGGCCGGGGGGUUCCGAUGAAAUCGGGAUUCACGGAAAGUGCCACAGAAAAGAUACCGCCUGUCGUGCUGCGAUCCGGCGGCCAGCAGGUAAGGGUGAAAAGGUGCGGUAAGAGCGCACCGCGUCCCGAGUAAUCGGGAUGGCAGGGCAAACCCCACGUGGAGCAAGACCAAAUAGGGGACGAGCGGCGACCCGCCGCGCCAAACGUCGCCAGGCGGCAGCAGGCUUCGGCCUCGCCGCCGGCGCAUCGAGUCCCGGGUAGGUCGCUAGAGCGCCGCAGCAAUGCGCCGCCCAGAGGAAUGGCUGCCGCCCCGACUUCGUGUUGGGGCACAGAAACCGGCUUACAGUCCGGCGGGCUUC
rnacentral:RNase_P_RNA from 1 species